GACGAACGCUGGCGGCGUGCCUAAUACAUGCAAGUUGAGCGCUGAAGGUUGGUACUUGUACCAACUGGAUGAGCAGCGAACGGGUGAGUAACGCGUGGGGAAUCUGCCUUUGAGCGGGGGACAACAUUUGGAAACGAAUGCUAAUACCGCAUAAAAACUUUAAACACAAGUUUUAAGUUUGAAAGAUGCAAUUGCAUCACUCAAAGAUGAUCCCGCGUUGUAUUAGCUAGUUGGUGAGGUAAAGGCUCACCAAGGCGAUGAUACAUAGCCGACCUGAGAUGGUGAGCGGCCACAUUGAGACUGAGACACGGCCCAAACGCAUACGGGAGGCAGCAGUAGGGAAUCUGCGGCAAUGGACGAAAGUCUGACCGAGCAACGCCGCGUGAGGGAAGAAGGUUUUCGGAUCGUAAAACUCUGUUGGUAGAGAAGAACGUUGGUGAGAGUGGAAAGCUCAUCAAGUGACGGUAACUACCCAGAAAGGGACGGCUAACUACGUG
rnacentral:rRNA from 1 species